UAGGAGGGUGCCUCCUUCAUUCACAAAGGUUGCUGCUCCUUUUCAUUUUUACUAGAAUUUUAUAUUAGAAAAUCUUGUCAGGUAAAAGAUUGGGUUUUGAAGGUUUAAAUGGUGCGGAUUCGUGAGAGAGGUGAUAGAAGGAAAGUUUUAUCUUUAUUUAAUGCUAUAAAAUUUGGUGCAGAGAUGUGUGUGCUGUGAAAGUAGAAAAAAAAAGAAAGAAGUUAAGAGUGCAGGAGAUGGUUACGGGUGAAGGGAGAAAUUAUAGUGGAGAGAGAUAAGGAUUUUGAGUGGAAGGAAGAAAGUUAGAGAUGAUGGUGUGUGUGGGUGUGGUUAGAGAGAAUGAAAGAAAGAAGAGGAAGGAUGAGGGUUAGGAGGGGCGGGUUGGAUGUGUGUGAGAGUGUGUAAAUAAAAUGAUGGGUUUCAUUUACGUGACAGAGAGAAAAAAAAAAGGGGUUUGUUUAAUGUGAGAAAAUAGAAGGAAGAUGGGUUGUGUGGAACCAAGUAAGUAGUGGUGUGUUGGAGUAGGUAGCAGCAACUAACACAAAGAAAAGAGAAGUAGAAUGAAAAAUAGAGGAAUUAUUGAUUUAGGAAUUGUUUUGUUAAUUUAGAACAAGGAAAGUUUGGUUAAGUACUUUUGUUUUACUAGGUUUUUGUAACUUUUAUUUGGUCUGAAAGUCCAAUGAAAUAUCUUAAAUUUAUAUUAAUGUUAUCAAAUAAUAUUUUUUAAUCAUGAA
rnacentral:lncRNA from 1 species